UGGGCCUCUGCUCGGGGUCCCAACCACCCCGAGACAAAGAGAGUGCGCUAGCCGGCUCUGUUCACGUUCACUUGUCAGUGUGGCGGGAAGGGAGAAGGAGCCAGCACAAGCACGUCUCACCGCGAGGGACAGCGUCUCGCGCACAGCGUACCUGGGCAAGUGAAUGCGUGGACAGGCCGGCGGCUCUCAGUGUGUCAGCCUUUGGAGGACAUUUGCGAAGCAUCACGGGGAUUAAACGUUUGACUCAUACUUGGAGGAUGGAGGAGGACAAUGUUCUUGACAAUGGAAAUUAGUCUGACCUCUUGGGCGACUGGCAGCCCUGCCAUCCACCAUGAAGGUUAAACCAUCUAUUUAUAAUUAGCUAAAUGUGGAACUUCUGUUGCUGUUACGGCUUGUAUCUAGAUGUCCCCCAAAGCCUCAUGCAAGCCAGGCAUGGCGACACAUGCCUAUAAUCCCAGCACUCGGGAGGCUGAGGCGGGAGGAUUGCCAUGAGUUCAAGGCCAGCCUUGGCUACAUGGUGAGUUAGAGGUCAGCCUAAACUGCAUAGCAAGACCCUGUCUCUCAAAAAACAAACAGAAAAAAAAGCCUCAUGCGGUCACAGGUGGGGCUUUUCAAAGAUGGCUGGACCUAGGGUGUGUGCUGCUGGGAUCUAGGAUGUGAUGCUAGGACCGAUUCAUGGUGGGGUGCUAGGAUUAGGGCUGCCUCACCACUGUGGGUGAGUGCCUCUCCAAGGGGUUAAUAGUCUGGAUAACAUACAGGGGACAGAAAGAGGGCUACUGCUUCUUGCUUGCUGAUCGCUGCCUGCCCUGCCCUGCCCUGCCCUGCCAUGCACUGUUUCCCCUCUGCGUUGCCACCCUGCCUUGGAGCCAGCCGACUAUGGACUGAAACCUCUAUAAACCGUGAGCUGGAAUAAACCUUUCCUCCUUCAACUUUUGGUGUCAGGUAUUUUGUCUCAGCAAUGAGAAAAGUAGCUAAGAUAUGUUGCAUAGAAAUAUAAGAGAAUUUUAGCCAAAUUUUACAUACGAUAAAUUACAGGAAACCAUUUACAAUAUAUUUCCCUUAUUUCAGGUAUUUUCAAAGGAUUUCUCACAUUUUGUAGAGCGUAGCAUUAACAGAAUGGCUUCAGAGUUACCAGUAAAUCUCGUUAGUGUUGUCCUGUACCAGUAGGCCAAGGAUGUGACAAUUUCUUCAUGUCUUCUGAUAUAAUGUGCAUGUGUAUAUGCUCUGAAAAGUGGCAUUUUUAAUAAAUAGGUUUCAUUUCAAUUAUACUUAUAAUGUUUCUUUUUAAAUUGUAUGUGUAAGUUUUAUUGUUAUCAAUAAAUUCCAUUAUAUUUCUUUAUAAUAGGAGGAUAUUAGAAAAACCUUAUCUAAACCCCAGAGGGGUAUUAAGUCUGAGAAGUGAGAACCAAAGAACAAGAUGAUUUAUAUGUACAUAUAAGGAG
rnacentral:lncRNA from 1 species